CCACAACCAGCAUCCCACAACCAGCAUCCCAUAACCACCGCCCCGUAAGCAGCGCCCCAUAACCAGUGCCCCAUAGGCACCGCCCCAUAACCAGCACCCCAUAACCAGUGCCCCAUAACCAACAUCCCGCAACCAGCGCUCCACAACCAGCGCCCCAUAACCAGCGCCCCAUCAACAGCGCCCCAUAACCAGCGCCCCAUAACCAGCGCCCCACAACCAGCGCUCCAUAACCAGCAUCCCGUAGCCACUGCCCCAUAAACAGCACCCUAUAAACAGCACCCCAUAACCACCACCCCAUAACCAGCACCCUGUAACCAGCGCCCCAUAACCACCACCCCAUAGGCACUGCCCCAUAACCAGCACCCCAUAAUCAGCACCCCGUAACUACCGCCCCAUAACCACCGCCCCAUCAACAGCGCCCCAUAACCACUGCCCCAUAAACACAGCCCCAUAACCACCGCCCCAUAGCGCACAGCCACCCCAUAGUGCAUCACCCCAUAGGGCACAGCCACCCCAUAGCACAUCACCACCCCACAGCGCAGCGCCGCCCCACAGCGCACAGCCACCCCAUAGCACAUCACCACCCCAUAGCACAUCACCACCCCAUAGCACAUCACCACCCCAUAGCACAUCACCACCCCACAGCACAUCACCACCCCAUAGCACAUCACCACCCCAUAGCACAUCACCACCCCAUAGCACACAGCCGCCCCACAGCGCAGCGCCCGCAGGGCCGCACCUCGCGAGUUGCGCAGGAUGCGCUCGAUGAGCACCGGGUAUUUGGUGAUGCGCUGCGUCACCAGCAGGAUGCACUCCGGGACGCCGUGCCGCCGCAGCAGCGGGGAGCGGGCCAUGCGCUGCGGGACACAACGCCAGCGUGGGGGGCGUGGGGGGCGCGGGGUGAGGUGCGGG
rnacentral:lncRNA from 1 species